rnacentral:ribozyme from 1 species
CAGAGAGGAAGAAAGAGAAACACAAAAACAAAGCAAAAAAUGAAAAUCAGUGUUCCUUUCUCAAUUAUUUUUCUAGUCAUUUGAACGCUUCUGUCGGCAAUCUUCUGGUCUUUUCACUUCUCAGAGCGAAUGAGGAGGAGUUGGGAAAGUUGGGAAAAUUUGGGAAGAAAG